GGAAGAUUGGCCAUAAGAGACUACAUUUUCCAGGGGUCCGCCCGGUGCCCUUUGUCUAAAUUGGUGCGUAAUCUUCAGUUGCGGGCAUUUUCUCCUGGGAUUCAGGACAGAAAGCACACUUCCAUGAACGAUGUAUCAUCGAAGAGAUAUGUGAAAAACACCUUGAGGAUUGGUUCUAAACAACGUUUGCCAUGUUACAGUCGAUAUUAUGGAGUUCAUUUGGAUAAAAGUUAGGCGUUUUUAUGACUGGAUUUUCGUUUUUUUUUGGUAGCCAAACGUGACGCACCAAACGGAGCGAUUUCUCCUAAACAAAUAACCUUUCAGGAAAAACUGAACAUUUGCUAUCUAACAGAGUCUCCUCAUUGAAAACAUCUGAAGUUCUUCAAAGCUAAGUCCUCUCCUGUUCCCUGAUUAAGAGGUGAUGACAACUCCACUACCAUUGUCAACUCUCUCCUGACAUGAACUGAAGCCACGUCUCAUGUGCUCGCUCAUCCACUGGCACUUUGCAUGUUUCCUCUCCAAGCACUCUACAGUAUGUGAAGCCUACUUGGAUACUGGGUCCCCACCGAAUAGCCUGGAGCCACAGGUUUCUUCUCGCAGGCUCUA
ensembl:lncRNA